rnacentral:rRNA from 1 species
UACAGAGGUCCCAAGCGUUGUUCGGAUUCACUGGGCGUAAAGGGUGCGUAGGUGGCCAGGUAAGUUUGGUGUGAAAGCUCGGAGCUUAACUCCGAAAAGUCAUUGAAUACUAUCUGGCUGGAGGGUCGGAGGGGAGACUGGAAUUCUCGGUGUAGCAGUGAAAUGCGUAGAUAUCGAGAGGAACACCAGUGGCGAAGGCGAGUCUCUGGACGACUCCUGACACUGAGGCACGAAAGCUAGGGGAGCAAACAG